UAUGAAAUGCGGAAAAUGAAACAGGACCAAGGUUUAGAUGUGAUAGCAGAAGGUAUAGACACGUUAAAAAGCAUGGCCCAGGAUAUGAAUGAGGAAAUGGAUAAGCAAGUCCCUUUGAUGGAUGAGAUAGACACUAAGGUGGACAGGGCAACAUCUAACCUUAAGAAUACCAACGCUAGACUCAAGGACACUGUUAAUUAGGU